rnacentral:rRNA from 1 species
AUACGUAGGGGGCACGCGUUAUCCGGAAUUACUGGGUGUAAAGGGAGCGCAGACGGCUAAGCAAGUCUGAUGUGAAAGCCCGCGGCUCAACUGCGGGACUGCAUUGGAAACUGGUCAUCUGGAGUGCAGGAGGGGUAAGCGGAAUUCCUAGUGUAGCGGUGAAAUGCGUAGAUAUUAGGAGGAACACCGGUGGCGAAGGCGGCUUACUGGACUGUAACUGACGUUGAGGCUCGAAAGCGUGGGGAGCAAACAGGAUUAGAUACCCUGGUAGUCCACACUGUAAACGAUGAAUGCUAGGUGUAGGAGGUAUCGACCCCUUCUGUGCCGCAGUAAACACAGUAAGCAUUCCGCCUGGGGAGUACGGUCGCAAGAUUAAAACUCAAAUGAAUUGACGGGG